rnacentral:rRNA from 1 species
AUACGUAGGUGACAAGCGUUAUCAGGAUUUUCUGGGCGUAAAGGGCGUGUAGGCGGGGCUGCAAGUCAGAAAUGAAAUUUCUGCGCUCAACUCGGGGGCUGCGUCUGAAACUGCAGGACUUGUGUGCUGGAGGGGGUAGCGGGAUUCCUAGUGGGGCGGGAAAAUGCGCAGAUAUUAGGAGGAAUACCAGUGGCGAAGGCGACUCUCUGGACUGAUACUGACGCUGAGGCACGAAAGCGUGGGGAGCAAACAGGAUUAGAUACCCUGGUAGUCCACGCUAUAAACGAUGAGUGCUAGGUGUCGGGGGUCAAACCUCGGUGCCGCAGUUAACACAUUAAGCACUCCGCCUGGGGAGUACGGCCGCAAGGCUGAAACUCAAAUGAAUUGGCGGGG